GGUACAUCAUUCAUCUACUUUCAACCAGUGUUGGCUAUCUCUAUUGUAUGAUCUUCCAUAUAUUGGAACGUAUUGGAAUACCUUUGAGACCAACCUAUCCUUGUUGCUCAUAAUUGUUUUAAUUUUUUGGCCUACUUAUCAACAUUAUAGCUGAAUCUUCUUCCUCUAAGCUAUCCCUCCACACUUGGUGAAAUCUAUCAUGACCAAACUCCAUCAAAUUUGGCAAGGAUCAUGUGGCUUUCGCCUGCUUGACUUUAUCCAUCUUGGUCCACAUGGUGCCUAUUCAAAGCUACUUUCUAGAUUGUUAAGAUGCAAUGUAAACAAUGCCUCCUACAUUUUAUUGGCUAAUGAUCAAGAGAUUGAUAGAAUAUCUAUCAUUACCUUCUUGAUAUAGAAAUUCCUUAAUUAUAGUCCCAAUUGUUUGGUUGAUUGUCAUCCCC
rnacentral:lncRNA from 1 species